AACUAGCAUAUCAAUAAGCGGAGGAAAAGAAACUAACAAGGAUUCCCCUAGUAACUGCGAGUGAAGCGGGAAAAGCUCAAAUUUAAAAUCUGGCAGUCUCUGGCUGUCCGAGUUGUAAUCUAGAGAAGUAAUGCCCGUGCUGGACCGUGUAUAAGUCUCCUGGGAUGGGGCGUCAUAGAGGGUGAGAAUCCCGUCUUUGACACGGACUACCAGUGCAUUGUGGUAUGCUCUCAAAGAGUCGAGUUGUUUGGGAAUGCAGCUCAAAAUGGGUGGUAAAUUCCAUCUAAAGCUAAAUAUUGGCGAGAGACCGAUAGCGAACAAGUACCGUGAGGGAAAGAUGAAAAGAACUUUGGAAAGAGAGUUAAACAGUACGUGAAAUUGCUGAAAGGGAAACGCUUGAAGUCAGUCGCGUUGGCCGGGAAUCAGCCUUGCUUUUGCAUGGUGUACUUUCUGGUUGACGGGUCAGCAUCAAUUUUGACCGCUGGAAAAAGGCCUGGGGAAUGUGGCAGCUUCGGCUGUGUUAUAGCCCCUAGUCACAUACAGUGGUUGGGAUUGAGGAACUCAGCACGCCGCAAGGCCGGGUUUCGACCACGUUCGUGCUUAGGAUGCUGGCAUAAUGGCUUUAAGCGACCCGUCUUGAAACACGGACCAAGGAGUCUAACAUGCCUGCGAGUAUUUGGGUGGAAAACCCAAGUGCGUAAUGAAAGUGAAAGUUGAGAUCCCUGUCGUGGGGAGCAUCGACGCCCGGACCAGAACUUUUGGGACGGAUCCGCGGUGGAGCAUGUAUGUUGGGACCCGAAAGAUGGUGAACUAUGCCUGAAUAGGGUGAAGCCAGAGGAAACUCUGGUGGAGGCUCGUAGCGAUUCUGACGUGCAAAUCGAUCGUCAAAUUUGGGUAUAGGGGCGAAAGACUAAUCGAACCAUCAUUGUC
rnacentral:rRNA from 1 species